rnacentral:rRNA from 1 species
UACGUAGGCAGCAAGCGUUGUUCGGAAUUACUGGGCGCAAAGCGUGCGCAGGCGGUUUGCUAAGACAGGUGUGAAAUCCCCGGGCUUAACCUGGGAACUGCGCUUGUAACUGGCAAGCUUGAGUGUGGCAGAGGGGGGUGGAAUUCCGACGUGUAGCAGUGAAAUGCGUAGAGAUGUGGAGGAACACCGAUGGCGAAGGCAGCCCCCUGGGCUAACACUGACGCUCAUGCACGAAAGCGUGGGGAGCAAACAGG